AAGUGAACGGUCGCCCUCGCGGUGACCGGUUCUUCAAACCCCUGCGUACCAAACCUUCAGUGCCUCCGGCGGCCUGGGCCGACGCGGCGCGCGACCUCCCCGUUCGCGGGGGGGGCCGCUCCUCGCGGCGGACCACCCACCGGGCGGUCGUAAACAAAACCUUUCGUCGAGAUGGCAUCGUCUAAUUUCUUCAUAACGAAAUAUGAAAUA
rnacentral:misc_RNA from 1 species